rnacentral:rRNA from 1 species
AAGCCGAUGAAGGACGUUACUAACGACGAUAUGCUUUGGGGAGCUGUAAGUAAGCUUUGAUCCAGAGAUUUCCGAAUGGGGAAACCCAACAUGAGUUAUGUCAUGUUAUCGAUAUGUGAAUACAUAGUAUAUCAGAAGGCACACCCGGAGAACUGAAACAUCUUAGUACCCGGAGGAAGAGAAAGAAAAAUCGAUUCCCUUAGUAGCGGCGAGCGAAACGGGAAGAGCCCAAACCAACAAGCUUGCUUGUUGGGG